GCAGAAGUGAGAUGGCUGAUGCUGGAAGCUCUAGUAGGCAUUGGCCGCCUGGUUACCAGCAGUGGGAGCAGGCGGAGUCACCCUCCCUGUUGUCUAAGUGCUUCCUAGACAACAGGAGGCUGCACCCCCUGACUGAGUUCAGGCAGGAGCUGAACCACUGGAGUGGAAGCUCCAGCAGUGGUGGAGCCAUGUAAGAAGUGUCUUUCACCUCCCGCCGUGAUUCUGAGGCCUCCCCAGCCAUGUGGAAUUGUAAGUCCGAUUAAAACUCCUUUUCUCCCAGUUUUGGGUAUGCCUUUAUCAGCAGUGUGAGAAUGCACUAAUACAGUAAAUUAGUACCAGUAGAGUGGAAAGUUACUAAAACGAUGCAUGAAAAUGUGAAAGAGACUUUGGAACUGGGUAACAGGCAGAGGUUGGAACAGUUUGGAGGGCUCAGAAGAAGGCACAAAAAUGUGGGAAAGUUUGGAACUUCCUAGAGACUUGUUGAAGGGCUUUGGACAAAAUACCGAUAGUGAUAUGGACAAUAAGGUCCAGGCUGAGGCGGUCUCAGAUGGCGAGGAGGAACUUUUUAGGAACUGCAGCAAAGGUGAGUCUUGUUAUGUUUUAGCAAACAGACUGGUGGCAUUUUGCCUCUGCCCUAGAGAUUUGUGGAACUUUGAACUUUAGAGAGAUGAUUUAGGGUAUCUGGCAGAAAAAAAAUUCUAAGCAGCAAAGCAUUCAAGAGGUGACUUGGGUGCCGUUAAAAGCAUUCUGUUUUAAAAGGGAAACAGUAUGAAAGUUCAGAAAAUUUGCAGCCUGACAAUGUGAUAGAAAAUAAUAUCCCAUUUUUUUGAGGGGAAAUUCAAGCCAGCUGCAGAAAUUUGCAUAAGUAGCAAGGAGUCUAUUAUUAAUCCCCAAGACCAUGGGGGGAAAUGUCUCCAAGCCACGCCAGAGACCUUCACAACAGCCCCUCCUAUCACAGGCCUGGAGGCCCAGGCAGAUAAAGCGGUUUCCUGGGCCAGGCCCAAGGUCCUCAUGCUGUGUGCAGCCUAGGAACUUGGUGCCCUGUGUCCCAGCUGCUCCAGCCAUGGCUGAGAGGGGCCAAUGUACAGCUUAGGCUGUGGCUUCACGAUGCACAGCUCAGGCUGUGUGAAAGUCCCAAGCCUUGGCAGCUUCCAGGUAGUGUUGAGCCUGUGAUUGCACAAGAGUCAAGAAUUGAGGUUUGUGAAGCUCCACCUAGAUUUCAGAAGAUGUAUGGAGAUACCUGGAUGUCCAGGCAAAAGUUUGCUGUGGGAGUGGGGCCUUCACACAGAACCUCUGCUAGGGCAGUGUGGAAGAGAAAAGUGGGGUUGGAGCCCCCAUACAGAGUCCCUGCUGGGGCACUGCCUAGUGGAGCUGUGGGAAGAGGGCCACCAUCCUCCAGACCCCAGAAUUGUAGAUCCACCAGCAGCUUAUACUGUGCAUGUGGAAAAGCCACAGGAACUCAAUGCCAGACCAUGAAAACAGCCAGGAGGGAGACUGUACCCUACAAAACAACAGGGGCAGAGCUCCCCAAGACCAUGGGAACCCACUUUGUGCAUCAGUGUGACCUGGAUGUAAGACCUGGAUUCAAAGGAGAUCAUCUUGGAGCUUUAAAUUGACUGCCCUGCUGGAUUUUGGACUUGCAUGGGCCCUGUAACCCCUUUGUUUUGGCCAAUUUCUCCAAUUUGUAAUGGCUGUAUUUACCCAAUACCUGUACCCCCAUUGUAUAUAGGAAGUAACUAGCUUGCUUUUGAUCUUACAGGCUCAUAGGUGGAAGGGAAUUGCCUUGUCUCUGAUGAGGCUUUGGACUGUGGACUUUUGGGUUAAUGCUGAAAUGAGUUAAGACUUUGGGGGACUGUUGGGAAGGAAUGAUUGAUUUUGAAAUGUGAGGACAUGAAAUUUGGAGGGGCCAGGGGCUGAAUGAUAUGGUUUUGCUGUGCCCCAACCCAAAUCUCAACUUGAAUUGUAUUUUCAGAAUUCCCAUGUUUUGGGGAAGGGACUCAGGGGGAGGUAAUUGAAUCAUGGGGGCCAAUCUUUCCUGUGCUAUUCUUGUGAUAGUAAAUAAGUCACAGAAGAUCUGAUGGGUUUCCGCUUUUGCUUCUUCCUCAUUUUCUCUUGCUGCCACCAUGUAAGAAGUGCCUGUUGCUUCCCACCAUGAUUCUGAGGCCUCACUACCUAUGUGGAACUGUAAGUCCAAUUAAACCUCUUUUUAUUCCCAGUCUUGGGUAUGGCUUUAUCAGCAGCAUGAAAAUGAAAUAAUACAGUGAGGAAACAUCUCUGUCUCCUUCCAGGCCAAGUUUAGUGUUCUUUUUCUUAUGCUUCCAUAGUGCAACUUGACACAUUUAAAUAAUCUAAAAUUAUAGCACUGAGUUUUUAUGAAAAGAUAAAUUGUAUAUUGAGUACAAUUGUCAUUACCAACAACAUAUAUAUAAGUGAUGCUUUCAGUAUUUAAGAUUCAAACCUGCGGAUCACGAGGUCAGGAGAUCGAGACCAUCCUGGCUAACACAGUGAAACCCUGUCUCUACUAAAAAUACAAAAAAUCAGCCAUGCAUGGUGGUGGGCGCCUAUAGUCCCAGCUACUCAGGAGGCUGUGGCAGGAGAAUGGCAUGAACCCGAGAGGUGGAGGUUGCAGUGAGCUGAGAUGGCACCACUGCACUCCAGCAUGGGCAACAGAGCAAGACUCCGUCUCAAAAAAAAAAAAAAGAUUCAAAGCCUGUCAUUUUACAUAUAGGAAAAGAAGAUAUAACAAUGAAUGCUUUUUAUUUGUUUAAUAUUUUUCUUUGAUUAAACUGAACUCCUUGAGAGCAGGAACUGUGUCUUAAUCACCAUUAUAUCUCAGAUAUUAACCGAGAAUUUGAAUUAGCAUUUCCACCUAAUAACUAUUACAUGAAUAAAAGUAUUGUAAAAGUAUGUUUAUUUUCUUAUUUAUAACAAUAUUCCUAAUGAUAGCUAUAUAAUUCUAAAUUAAGAAACAUGGUACUUGCAAAAUAACAAAGGGGAAGAUAAAACAUACUAAUAUAAAAGAUGAUUUAGAGCCACAGCAAUGAAUAAGAAAAUUAUCAAAAUUUUAAAAUAUUGUUACUAAAUAUCAAAAUACUUACUAGAACUAGAGGAUAAAAUAUUAUUUGGAAUUAUACUGAGAAGAAAAUUCUAUUCUCUAUUCUUAAACAUAACUUAAUAUAGAAGUCUUCCAUAUAUAAUCCUCCUAUUCAUGAAGAUAGACGGUAUAAGUUUUGUCACAUCAGUAAUGAUCUACUGGCGAAUUUCUCUAAGUCUACAACCCAUGAGAAUUAUUAAACCACUUUUUUCUUUUUGGUCUAUAUCUCUGCCAAGACAAUCUGCAUGCAAAACCCAAUGAUUUUAAGGGAAGUUUCCACUUGGUGAACUUUGUAGUAAAUGAGACAGAUGAUAUAACCUCAGAACACAAGGUAGAAAGUGUGACUUCAGGGAAUGUGAGUGGCUUCAGGAAUUGAAGGAUGUAGAUUUGAGAAGUCAAAAAAAAAGACAUAUUUUGCUCUCAUCCUAGCUGACACUGACAUUUUUCCAUGGAUAUUCAUCUUGCUCAUCAUAUUAUUAUUUAUAUUAUUAAGUAUAUCAUAGCACUCACAUAAGGAUAAAAUCAGAAGUGCUUCUGUAAGCCCCCUCUAUGGUAUUUUCUAUUCAUGUUAUAAUUAAUUGCAUUUUGAAAGAUAAAUCAAAUUUAUUAACUGAAGUAAAAAAAAAUCUAUCUUAUUUCUAAAUGAAAUUAGAUGUUAUUGAGAUAAAAUAAAAUACAGCAUCUACAAGAGUGAGACUUUUGGUGGUGGUGGAAGCAAUUUUCAAGUAGUUUCUUUUUUUAAUGCUGGCUUGAGAUUGAUUAUUAAUAAAGUGGACAUUUCAAAAUAAACUAUUUUGGCAUUUACUCAUUGAUUUCAUAUAAUAUAAAUGAAUUUCAUAUUUUAAUAUAUUGUUAAAAUGGUUAUUUGACUUGGAUUAACAAAAAGUAAUAAAAAGCUUGUUGGCUUUAAGUGUCUACAUGGGCUUAUACAACAUUUAACUGUUUACUCUGUACUGAAGAGAUGUAAACUUUAAGAUCAUCUUUUUUUUUUGAUGAUGAAAACAAAAUCUCAGGUUCACAUUGCUUGAAUUGUAAUUUUCAGUGAAAUAAACACCUAUUGUAUAUUUAUGAAAAAACACACAAAGUUCUGUGUUAUUCAGACUUAUUAAAAAAUGAAUUUUCAUUUUUGUUUGUUAUAUCUUUACAUAUUUUUCCCCCACUGAAUUGGAAAAUGGUACAGGCACAUCAGUGCAAAUGACUUAAUUGCCCAUUACAUGUUGAAGGUAAAAUAUUGAAUGAUGGAAGAUUUACGAGUUCUCCAUGGUUACUAUCCAAACUAACAGAUAUUAAUUAUCUGUUCAUGAUGACUAUCAGCUCAGUGAAUCUAUUCAGAUAGCAACAGAAGUUCUUUUGUUUGAUUGUUUGUUUGUUUUAGUCAGUUUAUUAAAACUUCUACAAAUGUCACUAUGCCGAACCUCAGUGUAUUAGUUCGUUUUCACAUUGCUGAUAAAGACAUACCCAAGACUGGGAAUAAAAAGAGGUUCAAUUGUACUUAACAAUUCUACAUGGGUGGUGAGGCCUCAGAAUCAUGGUGGGAGGCAAAAGGCACUUCUUACAUGGUGGCAGCAAGAGAAAAUGUGGAAGAUGCAAAAGCGGAAACGCCUGAUAAAACCGUCAGAUCUUGUGAGACUUAUUCACUAUCAUGAGAAUAGCACGAGAAAGACCAGCCCCCAUGAUUCAAUUACUUCCCCCUGGUUCCCUCCCACAACACGUGGGAAUUCUGGGAGAUACAGUUCGAGAUUUGAAGGGGGAAACAGCAGAACCGUAUCAUUCAUAAAUGUUAGAUAUUAAUACAGAUUGUAUUUUCUUUCUUUAUCUUUUCCAAUAUACUCAACUUCUCUGAUGAAAUUAAAUGCAAUUAUAGUAGCCUUUGUUAUUUGUAAAAUAAAAUACUAGAAUUGUUACUUAUAAAAUAUACUGAUUAGUUAGGCUGUAAUUAAUUGAGAUUUUCCUAUUAUGCACGUUUCCAGACAAUAAGAUGCAUCUAUCUAUAGCACUAAACAAACAUUAAAUGAAAUGUCUUAUUUAUGUUUGACAUAAAUAGCACAAAAAAUGUGACCUGCUAUGAUAAAAGAUAAAAUGUAAUUUAAGAUAACUGAAAAGACUGAAACAAUGGAUUUGGAUAUUAUGGGGUUUUAAAUUUAUUUUUACAUACAGACUUCAUUCACAUUUGCUAAUUUUUCUUAUAUGUUUUAACUUGCAAUCACAAAAUUACUUUUGUUGUAAUUUCUAACUUCCUUUUCUGUAUCUUGGUAUUUAAAACAUAGCACCAUUUCUACAAAGAAAAUAAAGCCUAGAUGAAAAAUAAAUGUCCCCAUUUACUUCAGAGAAAACCCAGAUAUCUCCUUUGUGACCUAGAAUUGAACCCCAGUGGUGGUGAGCAAGUUGGUGAGCAAAGUGUGUUGUACAUGUGUUAAAUGAAUGAGUGUCUACUUGACACGCAUAAUUCUCUGACUCUGUUAUUUAUGCACAGAGUGCUAACAUGAAACAGAUUUUCAGAAUAAAAAGGGCAAAGAGUAACAGAGCUGUCUUUAGUUAAAAUUUUGUUUUACUAUCUAAUGAACAAAGGUAAUUUGAGGGUAGACCAACCCAAAUGUUAAAUAAAAAAUAUCGAUUAAAAACAUGGCUUUACUGAUCUGCCAUUUUCAUUUUUUAAACAUCUUCUAUUUUUAAGUAUGAAAUCAUGACUUAGGCCUUGUAAUUACAAAUACUCAGAACAUCACCCACAGAUGUGGUGUUGGUCAUAACAGGUGUACUCAAUCUCUAAUUUAUCUUUACAUACAAAUUUAGUGUUGUCAUAAUUUCAAAUUAUUUAAACUCACUAAAUUUUAA
rnacentral:lncRNA from 10 species